rnacentral:rRNA from 1 species
GAUCAUGGCUCAGGAUGAACGCUAGCGACAGGCUUAACACAUGCAAGUCGAGGGGCAGCACGGUGUAGCAAUACACUGGUGGCGACCGGCGCACGGGUGAGUAACACGUGUGCAACCAACCCCGUACCGGGAGAUAACCCGCGGAAACGUGGACUAACAUCCCAUAAUACUGGAGGAUCGCAUGAUCUUUCAUUUAAAAUUCCGGUGGUACGGGACGGGCACGCGCGACAUUAGGUAGUUGGCGGGGUAAUCGG